rnacentral:rRNA from 1 species
CGGACGGGUGAGUAACACGUGGAUAACCUACCUAUAAGACUGGGAUAACUUCGGUAAACCGGAGCUAAUACCGGAUAAUAUAUUGAACCGCAUGGUUCAAUAGUGAAAGACGGUUUUGCUGUCACUUAUAUAUGGAUCCGCGCCGCAUUAGCUAGUUGGUAAGGUAACGGCUUACCAAGGCAACGAUGCGUAGCCGACCUGAGAGGGUGAUCGGCCACACUGGAACUGAGACACGGUCCAGACUCCUACGGGAGGCAGCAGGC